GCUGGAAUAUUUAUGUAAAUAAAAUGUUUACCUGCAGUUAAUUAAGAAUCCACUAUAGUAUUGAGGAAGUUUUAUUGUAUGUCUGCAUUUGAAACAAAGAAAAGGUGCAUAUUCAAUAAAUAUAUAGCGUUAAUUGUUGGAUGUAGUUUUUAUCCCUAAGACUUUAGUUGAUGUAUAGGUGUAACUUUACCUUCAAAAAGUUUCUAGAAACUGAAUCAAUUCAUUGGGAUUUUAGAUUUAAGUUGCAUUAAAUUAUGGAGAAAUACCUUUCUCUUACUCUUACUUCAGAUUGAAUACAUAAAAUUCAAAACCCCAAGUGCUUGCUAAUGACUGAAUAAGAAAAGCCAACAAAUUCAUGAAUAACAACAUCAUCGUCACCUAAUUUUCUUCCAUUUUGAUCUUCAACAUCUUCACCAUCAUAUCUUUGGCCCUUUUACAGGGUAAUUUUUCCCUCCUUUCAUUUCUUCGUUUAUCCAAAACAGAUUGAUAUACGCCCAAAAGAUUUUUCCUUAC
rnacentral:lncRNA from 1 species